AUUGAACGCUGGCGGCAGGCCUAACACAUGCAAGUCGAACGAGUGGCGGACGGGUGAGUAAUGUCUGGGAAACUGCCCGAUGGAGGGGGAUAACUACUGGAAACGGUAGCUAAUACCGCAUACCAUCGGAUGUGCCCAGAUGGGAUGAGCUUGUAGGUGGGGUAAAGGCUCACCUAGGCGACGAUCCCUAGCUGGUCUGAGAGGAUGACCAGCCACGAUGGAACUGAGACACGGUCCAGACUCCAGCGGGCGGCACCGGUGGGGAAUAUUGAACAAUGGGCGCAAGCGUGAUGCAGCCAUGCCGCGUGUAUGGAGAAGUCCUUCGGGUUUUAAAGUCAUUUCAGCGGGGAGGCGUUACCCGCAGAAUAAGCACCGGCUAACUCCGUGCCAGCAGCCGCGGUAAUAC
rnacentral:rRNA from 1 species